rnacentral:sRNA from 1 species
UUGUUUAACAAUUCUCUAGGCAUCUCUAAUGGAAUAAAACUAAGAGGACCACCGAGUUCAGUUUCCAGAAGCUUCGUACGUAGCUUUCUCCACGUUUUAGAUAGUGUUAUGUA